AUUAUACUCCCUCCGUUCGGAAUUACUUGUCUCGAAAAUGGAUGUAUCUAGAACUAGAAUACGUCUAGAUACAUCCAUUUCUGCGACAAGUAAUUCCGAAUGGAGGGAGUACAUC
rnacentral:pre_miRNA from 1 species